rnacentral:rRNA from 1 species
CUCGUAGGCGGUUCGUCGCGUCCGGUGUGAAAGUCCAUCGCUUAACGGGUGGAUCCGCGCCGGGUACGGGCGGGCUUGAGUGCGGUAGGGGAGACUGGAAUUCCCGGUGUAACGGUGGAAUGUGUAGAUAUCGGGAAGAACACCAAUGGCGAAGGCAGGUCUCUGGGCCGUUACUGACGCUGAGGAGCGAAAGCGUGGGGAGCGAACA